UUGAACGCUUGCGGCAGGCCUAACACAUGCAGGUCGAGCGGAUGAAGGGAGCUUGCUCCUGGAUUCAGCGGCGGACGGGUGAGUAAUGCCUAGGAAUCUGCCUGGUAGUGGGGGAUAACGUCCGGAAACGGGCGCUAAUACCGCAUACGUCCUGAGGGAGAAAGUGGGGGAUCUUCGGACCUCACGCUAUCAGAUGAGCCUAGGUCGGAUUAGCUAGUUGGUGGGGUAAAGGCCUACCAAGGCGACGAUCCGUAACUGGUCUGAGAGGAUGAUCAGUCACACUGGAACUGAGACACGGUCCAGACUCCUACGGGAGGCAGCAGUGGGGAAUAUUGGACAAUGGGCGAAAGCCUGAUCCAGCCAUGCCGCGUGUGUGAAGAAGGUCUUCGGAUUGUAAAGCACUUUAAGUUGGGAGGAAGGGCAGUAAGUUAAUACCUUGCUGUUUUGACGUUACCAACAGAAUAAGCACCGGCUAACUUCGUG
rnacentral:rRNA from 1 species